UUUGAAAGAACUUUAACAGCUGCAGGCUUUGUUGUGAACGAAGCCGACAAAUGUGUGUACUAUCGCCAUGGUGGAGGCGAGGAAGUUAUCAUGUGCUUGUAUGUCAAUGACAUACUGAUUUUCGGAACAAAUCUGAAAGUUAUUAAGCAGGUCAAGGAUUUCCUAUCUCGUUGUUUUGAGAUGAAGGAUUUAGGAGUGGCUGAUGUCAUUCUGAACAUCAAGUUGUUGAGAGAUGAUGAUGGUGGGAUUACUUUGCUUCAAUCUCACUAUGUGGAAAAGAUCUUGAGUCGCUUUGGCUAUAGUGACUGCAAGCCCUCUCCAACACCAUAUGAUGCUAGUGUGUUGCUUCGAAAGAAUCGAAGAAUUGCUAGAGACCAAUUGAAGUAUUCUCAGAUUAUUGGCUCGCUUAUGUACUUAGCCAGUGCUACAAGACCUGACAUCUCUUUUGCUGUUAGCAAACUAAGUCGGUUUGUUUCAAAACCAGGAGAUGUGCAUUGGAAA
rnacentral:rRNA from 1 species